UCGAGAAUAUUCCGCAAUGGGCGAAAGCCUGACGGAGCGACGCCGCGUGGAGGAUGAAGUACUUCGGUACGUAAACUCCUUUUAUGAGGGAGGAAGUAAUUGACGUUACCUCAUGAAUAAGAGGUUGCUAAACUCGUGCCAGCAGCAGCGGUAAUACGAGUGCCUCGAGCGUUAUCCGGAAUUAUUGGGCGUAAAGGGUAUGUAGGUGGUCUAGUUAGUCUUGUGUUAAAAAUCCUGGCUUAACCGGGAGAGUGCAUAGGAAACGGCUAGACUCGAGGAUGCGAGAGGUUUGUGGAAUUCUAAGUGUAGCGGUGAAAUGCGUUGAUAUUUAGGAGAACACCAAAAGCGAAGGCAGCAAACUGGAGCAUUCCUGACACUGAAAUACGAAAGCGUGGGUAGCGAAUGGG
rnacentral:rRNA from 1 species